rnacentral:snRNA from 1 species
AGACUUAGCUGGCAGGGAGAUGCUAUGAUCACAAAGGUGGUGUUCCCAGCGUGAGGGUCAUGCAUGCACCCUCGAUGUGCAGAUCUCAACGGCAAGAAGCUUAACUGCAUAAUUUGUGGUACUGAGGGACUAUGUGUGUAAAAUCCGUUU